rnacentral:rRNA from 1 species
GACGAACGCUGGCGGCGUGCUUAACACAUGCAAGUCGAACGGAAAGGCCCUGCUUUUGUGGGGUGCUCGAGUGGCGAACGGGUGAGUAACACGUGAGUAACCUGCCCUUGACUUUGGGAUAACUUCAGGAAACUGGGGCUAAUACCGGAUAGGAGCUCCUGCUGCAUGGUGGGGGUUGGAAAGUUUCGGCGGUUGGGGAUGGACUGGCGGCUUAUCAGCUUGUGGGUGGGGUAGUGGCUUACCAAGGCUGUGACGGGUAGCAGGCUUGAGGGUGACCGGCCACAUUGGGACUGAGAUACGGACCAGACUCCUACGGGAGGCAGCAGUGGGGAAUAUUGCACAAUGGGCGGAAGCGUGAUGCAGCAACGCCGCGUUCGGGACGACGGCCUUCGGGUUGUAAACCGCUUGCGCCUGUGACGAAGCGGGAGUGACGGUAAUGGGUAAAGAAGCACCGGCUAACUACGUG